rnacentral:lncRNA from 1 species
UCUAAUGUGAGGCAGGCCGCUUCCCCUUAGGAGAUUCUACAGGAUUUGCUGGCCGAGUGUGAUAAUGGCAGCUGACACAGCUUUCCACCAGUUACUCCUGUAAGGAGCCUCUGGAGCAUUCUACUGCUUGAUGGCCAGUGCUGGUUACUUUAGGAGAAGAUAUGAGAAACACUGUGAUAAUUGUUUUCACAGGAAAUCUGUCUUUCUGCCACUUAUACUUGUGAGUACUGUAUCUUAUCAUACAAUGCAUUAAAUACUUCCCAAAACUUUACUUUUCAGGUUUUUUUUAUAGCAUCUCUAGAAGUUCUUGUCAUUGAAAUAAACAUCUGUUCCCUUUUAAAGAAUUGGGCUGA